UUAAGCGACUAAGCGUACACGGUGGAUGCCCUGGCAGUCAGAGGCGAUGAAGGACGUGCUAAUCUGCGAUAAGCGUCGGUAAGGUGAUAUGAACCGUUAUAACCGGCGAUUUCCGAAUGGGGAAACCCAGUGUGUUUCGACACACUAUCAUUAACUGAAUCCAUAGGUUAAUGAGGCGAACCGGGGGAACUGAAACAUCUAAGUACCCCGAGGAAAAGAAAUCAACCGAGAUUCCCCCAGUAGCGGCGAGCGAACGGGGAGCAGCCCAGAGCCUGAAUCAGUGUGUGUGUUAGUGGAAGCGUCUGGAAAGGCGCGCGAUACAGGGUGACAGCCCCGUACACAAAAAUGCACAUGCUGUAAGCUCGAUGAGUAGGGCGGGACACGUGGUAUCCUGUCUGAAUAUGGGGGGACCAUCCUCCAAGGCUAAAUACUCCUGACUGACCGAUAGUGAACCAGUACCGUGAGGGAAAGGCGAAAAGAACCCCGGCGAGGGGAGUGAAAAAGAACCUGAAACCGUGUACGUACAAGCAGUGGGAGCACGCUUAGGCGUGUGACUGCGUACCUUUUGUAUAAUGGGUCAGCGACUUAUAUUCUGUAGCAAGGUUAACCGAAUAGGGGAGCCGAAGGGAAACCGAGUCUUAACUGGGCGUUAAGUUGCAGGGUAUAGACCCGAAACCCGGUGAUCUAGCCAUGGGCAGGUUGAAGGUUGGGUAACACUAACUGGAGGACCGAACCGACUAAUGUUGAAAAAUUAGCGGAUGACUUGUGGCUGGGGGUGAAAGGCCAAUCAAACCGGGAGAUAGCUGGUUCUCCCCGAAAGCUAUUUAGGUAGCGCCUCGUGAAUUCAUCUCCGGGGGUAGAGCACUGUUUCGGCAAGGGGGUCAUCCCGACUUACCAACCCGAUGCAAACUGCGAAUACCGGAGAAUGUUAUCACGGGAGACACACGGCGGGUGCUAACGUCCGUCGUGAAGAGGGAAACAACCCAGACCGCCAGCUAAGGUCCCAAAGCCAUGGUUAAGUGGGAAACGAUGUGGGAAGGCCCAGACAGCCAGGAUGUUGGCUUAGAAGCAGCCAUCAUUUAAAGAAAGCGUAAUAGCUCACUGGUCGAGUCGGCCUGCGCGGAAGAUGUAACGGGGCUAAACCAUGCACCGAAGCUGCGGCAGCGACGCUGAUGCGUUGUUGGGUAGGGGAGCGUUCUGUAAGCCUGCGAAGGUGUGCUGUGAGGCAUGCUGGAGGUAUCAGAAGUGCGAAUGCUGACAUAAGUAACGAUAAAGCGGGUGAAAAGCCCGCUCGCCGGAAGACCAAGGGUUCCUGUCCAACGUUAAUCGGGGCAGGGUGAGUCGACCCCUAAGGCGAGGCCGAAAGGCGUAGUCGAUGGGAAACAGGUUAAUAUUCCUGUACUUGGUGUUACUGCGAAGGGGGGACGGAGAAGGCUAUGUUGGCCGGGCGACGGUUGUCCCGGUUUAAGCGUGUAGGCUGGUUUUCCAGGCAAAUCCGGAAAAUCAAGGCUGAGGCGUGAUGACGAGGCACUACGGUGCUGAAGCAACAAAUGCCCUGCUUCCAGGAAAAGCCUCUAAGCAUCAGGUAACAUCAAAUCGUACCCCAAACCGACACAGGUGGUCAGGUAGAGAAUACCAAGGCGCUUGAGAGAACUCGGGUGAAGGAACUAGGCAAAAUGGUGCCGUAACUUCGGGAGAAGGCACGCUGAUAUGUAGGUGAAGUCCCUCGCGGAUGGAGCUGAAAUCAGUCGAAGAUACCAGCUGGCUGCAACUGUUUAUUAAAAACACAGCACUGUGCAAACACGAAAGUGGACGUAUACGGUGUGACGCCUGCCCGGUGCCGGAAGGUUAAUUGAUGGGGUUAGCCGCAAGGCGAAGCUCUUGAUCGAAGCCCCGGUAAACGGCGGCCGUAACUAUAACGGUCCUAAGGUAGCGAAAUUCCUUGUCGGGUAAGUUCCGACCUGCACGAAUGGCGUAAUGAUGGCCAGGCUGUCUCCACCCGAGACUCAGUGAAAUUGAACUCGCUGUGAAGAUGCAGUGUACCCGCGGCAAGACGGAAAGACCCCGUGAACCUUUACUAUAGCUUGACACUGAACAUUGAGCCUUGAUGUGUAGGAUAGGUGGGAGGCUUUGAAGUGUGGACGCCAGUCUGCAUGGAGCCGACCUUGAAAUACCACCCUUUAAUGUUUGAUGUUCUAACGUUGACCCGUAAUCCGGGUUGCGGACAGUGUCUGGUGGGUAGUUUGACUGGGGCGGUCUCCUCCUAAAGAGUAACGGAGGAGCACGAAGGUUGGCUAAUCCUGGUCGGACAUCAGGAGGUUAGUGCAAUGGCAUAAGCCAGCUUGACUGCGAGCGUGACGGCGCGAGCAGGUGCGAAAGCAGGUCAUAGUGAUCCGGUGGUUCUGAAUGGAAGGGCCAUCGCUCAACGGAUAAAAGGUACUCCGGGGAUAACAGGCUGAUACCGCCCAAGAGUUCAUAUCGACGGCGGUGUUUGGCACCUCGAUGUCGGCUCAUCACAUCCUGGGGCUGAAGUAGGUCCCAAGGGUAUGGCUGUUCGCCAUUUAAAGUGGUACGCGAGCUGGGUUUAGAACGUCGUGAGACAGUUCGGUCCCUAUCUGCCGUGGGCGCUGGAGAACUGAGGGGGGCUGCUCCUAGUACGAGAGGACCGGAGUGGACGCAUCACUGGUGUUCGGGUUGUCAUGCCAAUGGCACUGCCCGGUAGCUAAAUGCGGAAGAGAUAAGUGCUGAAAGCAUCUAAGCACGAAACUUGCCCCGAGAUGAGUUCUCCCUGACUCCUUGAGAGUCCUGAAGGAACGUUGAAGACGACGACGUUGAUAGGCCGGGUGUGUAAGCGCAGCGAUGCGUUGAGCUAACCGGUACUAAUGAACCGUGAGGCUUAACCUU
rnacentral:rRNA from 1 species